GGCUGUAAGAUAAUGUGGAUGUGACAACGUCCAUCACUGCAUUAGUCACCAGGGUUGAUUGAGCUGACCUGGCUAGGCAGGUAGAUCCUCCUUUUCUCUCACGGAGACAUAUGUAUCUUUCCUGAUGUGUGCAUUUCCCCCGAGGAUGCACACCCUGUACAAGAGGAAUAUUUGUUCAUAAGGAAUCUACAAACAGUGGUGCCCCAGUAGAGCCUCCAAGCAAGCUCUCAAUGCCAGCAUGUGUUUACCUGACACUGUUGCUGGAGCCCCUAACCUACCUGUCCUCCUAUCCCCAUUACAAAGCCCACUUG
ensembl:misc_RNA 7SK 7SK RNA